UACCGAGAUAAAUCAUCAGUAAAGAUGAUGAAGUAGCUAUAACUACCCCUGAUCUAUACAUCAAAUGGCCCACACAAAUCGAUGUGUACCAGGAUAAGUAAGUCGGUGGCCCUUUUUUCAUAUCCUACAAAAGGUAACUGUUAGAUUUGUACCCUAAAAGUCAAUUGUUGGCUGACACAUUAUAUAAUUUUGAGCCUAAACUUAUACUUAUAAUCUUUUUAUUAUCAAUAAAGGACUUUUCAUUCCAAUCAUAUUUAUGUGUCCAUGAUUUAUCCUAAAAAUUAACAAAGAUGAUUUUUGUAU
rnacentral:lncRNA from 1 species